GCGCGCCGUCGGGCAGCUUGCGCACGAUCUCGUGCAGCGUGACCGCCGAGACGGUGGUUGCCCCCGCGCGUUCGACCUGCGCCGGCGCGCG
rnacentral:tRNA from 1 species